rnacentral:rRNA from 1 species
CCUACGGGAGGCAGCAGUGGGGAAUAUUGCACAAUGGGGGAAACCCUGAUGCAGCGACGCCGCGUGAGUGAAGAAGUAUUUCGGUACGUAAAGCUCUAUCAGCAGGGAAGAAAAUGAUGGUACCUGACUAAGAAGCCCCGGCUAACUACGUGCCAGCAGCCGCGGUAAUACGUAGGGGGCAAGCGUUAUCCGGAUUUACUGGGUGUAAAGGGAGCGUAGACGGCAGCGCAAGUCUGGAGUGAAAUCCCAUGGCUUAACCAUGGAACUGCUUUGGAAACUGUGCAGCUAGAGUGCAGGAGAGGUAAGCGGAAUUCCUAGUGUAGCGGUGAAAUGCGUAGAUAUUAGGAGGAACACCAGUGGCGAAGGCGGCUUACUGGACUGUAACUGACGUUGAGGCUCGAAAGCGUGGGGAGCAAACAGGAUUAGAUACCCGAGUAGUC